UGGGGAAUUUUGGACAAUGGGCGAAAGCCUGAUCCAGCAAUGCCGCGUGUGUGAAGAAGGCCUUCGGGUUGUAAAGCACUUUUGUCCGGAAAGAAAACCUCGUGGUUAAUACCCGUGGGGGAUGACGGUACCGGAAGAAUAAGCACCGGCUAACUACGUGCCAGCAGCCGCGGUAAUACGUAGGGUGCAAGCGUUAAUCGGAAUUACUGGGCGUAAAGCGUGCGCAGGCGGUGAUGCAAGACCGAUGUGAAAUCCCCGGGCUUAACCUGGGAACUGCAUUGGUGACUGCAUCGCUAGAGUAUGGCAGAGGGGGGUAGAAUUCCACGUGUAGCAGUGAAAUGCGUAGAGAUGUGGAGGAAUACCGAUGGCGAAGGCAGCCCCCUGGGCCAAUACUGACGCUCAUGCACGAAAGCGUGGGGAGCAAAGCA
rnacentral:rRNA from 1 species